rnacentral:rRNA from 1 species
UCCUCCCUCUGGCGGCGUGCUUAACACAUGCAAGUCGAACGGAAAGGCCCUGCUUUUGUGGGGUGCUCGAGUGGCGAACGGGUGAGUAACACGUGAGUAACCUGCCCUUGACUUUGGGAUAACUUCAGGAAACUGGGGCUAAUACCGGAUAGGAGCUCCUGCUGCAUGGUGGGGGUUGGAAAGUUUCGGCGGUUGGGGAUGGACUCGCGGCUUAUCAGCUUGUUGGUGGGGUAGUGGCUUACCAAGGCUUUGACGGGUAGCCGGCCUGAGAGGGUGACCGGCCACAUUGGGACUGAGAUACGGCCCAGACUCCUACGGGAGGCAGCAGUGGGGAAUAUUGCACAAUGGGCGGAAGCCUGAUGCAGCAACGCCGCGUGCGGGAUGACGGCCUUCGGGUUGUAAACCGCUUUCGCCUGUGACGAAGCGUGAGUGACGGUAAUGGGUAAAGAAGCACCAGCUAACUACGUG